ACGGGUGAGUAACGCGUGGGAACAUACCUCUUGGUUCGGAACAACACAGGGAAACUUGUGCUAAUACCGGAUAAGCCCUUACGGGGAAAGAUUUAUCGCCGAGAGAUUGGCCCGCGUCUGAUUAGCUAGUUGGUGGGGUAAAGGCCUACCAAGGCGACGAUCAGUAGCUGGUCUGAGAGGAUGAUCAGCCACAUUGGGACUGAGACACGGCCCAAACUCCUACGGGAGGCAGCAGUGGGGAAUAUUGGACAAUGGGCGCAAGCCUGAUCCAGCCAUGCCGCGUGAGUGAUGAAGGCCCUAGGGUUGUAAAGCUCUUUUGUACGGGAAGAUAAUGACGGUACCGUAAGAAUAAGCCCCGGCUAACUUCGUGCCAGCAGCCGCGGUAAUACGAAGGGGGCUAGCGUUGCUCGGAAUCACUGGGCGUAAAGGGUGCGUAGGCGGGUUUUUAAGUCAGAGGUGAAAUCCUGGAGCUCAACUCCAGAACCGCCUUUGAUACUGAAAGUCUUGAGUAUGGGAGAGGUGAGUGGAACUGCGAGUGUAGAGGUGAAAUUCGUAGA
rnacentral:rRNA from 1 species